UACGAAGGGGGCGAGCGUUGUUCGGAAUCACUGGGCGUAAAGGGCGCGUAGGCGGCCCUUCUUGUCGCGUGUGAAAGCCCCGGGCUCAACCUGGGAACGGCAUCCGAUACUGGAGGGCUUGAAUUCGGGAGAGGGAUGCAGAAUUCCAGGUGUAGCGGUGAAAUGCGUAGAUAUCUGGAGGAAUACCGGUGGCGAAGGCGGCAUCCUGGACCGAGAUUGACGCUGAGGAGCGAAAGCUAGGGGAGCAAACGGG
rnacentral:rRNA from 1 species